ACUGAAAAACAUCCAUCUGCCAGAUGUCAUUUCUUUUGGUAUCCUUAGGGCUCCUACUAACAUGCCACAGAGUUUGGUUUUAUUGAGAACAUGUAGGAAAUUUUAAAAAUUAUUUAUUUGGCUUGUUAUCAAGUGAUUAUUUUUCUUCAAAUACUUCCUAUUAAUAUAAUGUUUUCAUGAAAAAUUGAGGGUCCUAAUACAUUUCCUAUUGUUAAUUGGUCAAUUUCCUUAUUAUAUUGAGCUAAUGGACCUGGAAAACCUUUAUGAAGCCGAAUAUGAGUAAUACAUAGUGGAUAGUUUUGACUCUAAUGGCUUGUUGCAAUUGUAUAAAUAAGAAAGUUAAUUCUAAAUUAUCAGGUACAAAUUCAGCAGUCUCUAUAUGCAAAACAACUCUUUCUACAUAUAAAGAAUCAGUAAUUAUGUUAAUAGAUUUAGGAUAAUCUAAUAAUACCACAAGGAUUACAUAUAAUUCUGACUUAAAAAAAAAGAUUUAUUUAUUAUUAUGCACAGGUACACUGUAGCUGGCUUCAGAUGCACCAGAAGAGGGCAUCAGAUCUCAUUAUGGGUGGUUGUGAGCCACCAUGUGUUUGCUAGGAUUUGAACUCAGGACCUUUGGAAGAGCAGUCAGUGCUCUUACCCGCUAAGCCAUCUCUCCAGCCCUAAUUCUGACUUUUGAACUGAGGUAUUUGGACUUUGAUCUCCUUGCUUCUUUUGUCUGACUUAUAAUCUACCAUCCCCAUCUAGUUUGCAUCAAUAUAAAAUGUUGGUGCCUCUGGAAUUGGUAUUCUCUUUAUUAUAUGUGGGAGUCUAGUUAGUUCUAGUUAGUUCACUGUAUAUACUUGAUAUUCAGAUAUUUGUAAUUAAUUUUACCCAAGUAUUUACUACAAAUUCUUUGCCAAUGUUCACUAAUUACCCAUAAUGACAUAAUCUCAUUAUUUGUAGCAGGUACUACAAUUUCAGCUGGAUCUGUUCCUGACAAUUGAUGUAGUCUUAUUUUGAUUUUUAUAAUUAAUUCAGAAAUCUUUCCUACUAUGUGAUCAAUUUUUUACUGUUUAUGAGCUAAGAAAAUCCAUUAGAUAAUACAGUCUCCCUUUUGCAUAAUGAACCCAGUAGGAUAAUGAAUUGAAGGUAAAGUGACCAGAAUACAAUCAAGUUUAAGAUCAGUUCGAUCUACAUAUGCCUCUUGUAGUCUUUGUUCUAUAAGAGUUAACUCUUUUUCUGCUUCAGCUGUUAGACAUGUGGAUUGUUUAAAAUUUAUUCUCCCUGCAAUAUUUGAAACAAAUUACUUAACUCAUAUGUACUUAAUCCAAUUGUAGACAAGUUAAUAUCUCCCAUUAAGUUUUGAAAUCAUUAAGAGUUUUCAGUUGGUCCCUAUGGAUCUGUACCUUUUGUGGUUGAAUUUUUUUUUAUGGACUGAUUUUAUAACCCAAAUAACUAAGUGAAUCUCUUCUUUGUAUUUUUUUCUGGAGAAAUCGGUAAUCCCCUACAUGGCAGAAUUCUUUGUGAUACCUUAAAAAUACUUUCUAAAACAUCUUAGUCAGAACCAGCCAACAGAAUGUCAUCCAUAUAAUGAUAAAUGAUAGAUUGAGGGAAUUGCUUACAUAUUAUUUCUAAUGGUUGUUGUGCAAAAUAUUGUCAUAAAGUUGGACUAUUUAACAUUCCCUGUGGAAGUACCUUCCAGUGGUAUCUCUUUAGUGGAUGACUAUUAUUCAAAGUAGUUACUGAGAAAGCAAUCCUUCCCCUGGCUUUCUCAUGCAAGGGU
rnacentral:lncRNA from 1 species